rnacentral:rRNA from 1 species
CCUACGGGAGGCAGCAGUAGGGAAUAUUGGGCAAUGGGCGAAAGCCUGACCCAGCGACGCCGCGUGAGGGAUGAAGGUCUUCGGAUUGUAAACCUCUUUCAGUAGGGAAGAAGCGAAAGUGACGGUACCUAAAGAAGAAGCACCGGCUAACUAUGUGCCAGCAGCCGCGGUAAUACAUAGGGUGCAAGCGUUGUCCGGAAUUAUUGGGCGUAAAGAGCUCGUAGGUCGUUUGUCGCGUCGAUUGUGAAAAUCUGAGGCUCAACCUCAGACCUGCAGUCGAUACGGGCAAACUAGAGUGAGGUAGGGGAGACUGGAAUUCCUGGUGUAGCGGUGGAAUGCGCAGAUAUCAGGAGGAACACCAAUGGCGAAGGCAGGUCUCUGGGCCAUAACUGACACUGAGGAGCGAAAGUGCGGGGAGCGAACAGGAUUAGAUACCCUGGUAGUCCGCACCGUAAACGGUGGGCACUAGUUGUGGGAACCUUCCACGGUUUCCGCGACGCAGCAAACGCAUUAAGUGCCCCGCCUGGGGAGUACGAUCGCAAGAUUAAAACUCAAAUGAAUUGACGG